UACGGGGGGGGUAAGCGUUGUUCGGAAUUACUGGGCGUAAAGGGCGCGUAGGCGGCCUGCUAAGUCGAACGUGAAAUCCCCGGGCUCAACCCGGGAACUGCGUCCGAUACUGGCAGGCUUGAAUCCGGGAGAGGGAUGCGGAAUUCCAGGUGUAGCGGUGAAAUGCGUAGAUAUCUGGAGGAACACCGGUGGCGAAGGCGGCAUCCUGGACCGGCAUUGACGCUGAGGCGCGAAAGCCAGGGGAGCAGACGGG
rnacentral:rRNA from 1 species